rnacentral:rRNA from 1 species
UACGAAGGGGACUAGCGUUGCUCGGAAUCACUGGGCGUAAAGGGUGCGUAGGCGGGUCUUUAAGUCAGGGGUGAAAUCCUGGAGCUCAACUCCAGAACUGCCUUUGAUACUGGCGAUCUUGAGUCCGGGAGAGGUGAGUGGAACUGCGAGUGUAGAGGUGAAAUUCGUAGAUAUUCGCAAGAACACCAGUGGCGAAGGCGGCUCACUGGCCCGGUACUGACGCUGAGGUGCGAAAGCGUGGGGAGCAAACAGG